GUUGCAACGCUGCUUCAGAUUUGCUGCUCAUUUUUCUUCCACUAUUUUGCUCUUAUGGGUUUCUCAUUCUUCAACGCUUCAGGUUUCUCAGUCCGUUCAUAUCUUCCGCUACCUUUUACUUCCCCCUUAACCUAGCAGCGCCGCUACUCACAUGAGAGAGAUUUGAACUCUACGAUCUGGGGUGGUGCCCCGUGGUGACCUGAGGCCAAGCUCCUUCACAACCUGAGAUGGAUCCUUCUGCAAAGCGAUUCAAACCACGGAGGUUGCAGGGUAUGGUGAGAGGAACACACAGAGGCUGGGAGCUCUGAUCUUCAAUCCUCAGGGCGCAGGCUGCGAUCCUCAAUCUUCAAUCCAGUCCAUUUUGUUCGUGCUUUGAGUAGAAGGGGAUGCUGCCUUCAAAUAUCAAAGAAACAUCCAAAGAAUCAAGGCGCAGAGAUGUGAGCAUUUCCUAUAUACAUGUGUGUGUUCCCCCUUUGCUAUUGCAGAAUUCUGGGCGUAUGGGAUCCAGGUAAGCACUACUCCUAACAGAAUUAUUAAUUUCAUGUAAAUGUUCCAUAUAAAUUUGAUAAAUGAUAACAAGGUGUUAUUUACAUAUGCAUACCCCUGUGUCAUGUGGUUAGCAAUCAGGCCAACACUCUUAGAAUGAUUUUGUGUUUUUACAGUUGAGUUUUUUAUUUGAGUUUUUAGUUUUUUUCUUUUUUUUUAUAAUUUUGGACAUGAGAAAGUUAGGGUCUGUGGCUAAGUUGUGUUACAUUGCAUCUUGAUGUUCAUUCGAGAGAACUGGUGAAGGGGCAGAGGCUUAGUGAGCGUGGGGAAAUUAUUCUCUUCUAUAAGGCUGAACCUAAAACAGAUGAAGUAUAUGAUCAGACAACUUUGCUUCCUGAAGCAGAUGUGAGUGCGCUCUGACUUCUGCCAUUGGAUUGAUUGGCGCAUCGAUUGAGGAACUACACCCGAGAGCUAAGAAUCAUAAUAUUGUUUCUGCAACCACAACUUUUCUUUUUGCAGAUAUUAUGUCUGCAAUUGAUCUCAUCCCUUUGUUGCUUCAAUAUUCUAUAAAUGCUUCUCCUGGAUGUUCCCAGUUGCAUUGUUUUGGAUUCUCUUUGAUUCUACAUGCUUGGAUGAUCAAGUAGCCAAUUAAGGUUUGAAUCUUAUCUUGGUGUCUUCAAUCCAUACCAUAUUUUUCAACAGUGAUGUAAUUAGAGUAAAUGAAACUCCUAUACUUUAUCCCUUUUUUCCUCAUUAUGCUUGCACAUGCUCUUGACUUGCUUUUUGCUAUGAUUCCUAAAUUCGUUAAUUUGCUUUCAGAAAAUGUUACUAUACAACAUACAAUAUGGUCUUAGUAGAGAGUGGAAUGGAGGAAUGUGCUACCCUGAAUUUAUGAGUUGUAUCACUACCAAGAAUGGUUAUUUAUUUUCAAGUUAGAGGGAAGAAAAUAGGAAUCACAUAGCCAUGUUGUUGGAUUUUUAUUUUGUUUUUGACAUUCAUAUUAAGCAUAUGCAUGAUGCAUCUGAAUUUUAACAUAGUGAUAAAGCUAAUGAAUGAAAGAUUAAAAAAGCACAUGAUAGUAGCUUCUUGGUUUUGAUUGAAUAUGUUUAUGUUUAUUUUUAUUUUCGUAAUUCCAAGAAUCAAGUCUCAAAUCUAAAUGCUAACUGUUGCAAGGUUUUGGAUUCUCUAAUUCUGCAUGCUUGGUAGAAUGAGUAGGAAAUUAAGGUGGUGAAUCUUAUCUUGGAGUCUUAAAUUGAUAUCACAACCAGCUAUAUUUUUCAACAAUGUGAUUCAAGUGUAUCAUCUUAUCCGAACUAAAGACAGAUGUUCUCAGGAAUGAAAAAAGUAGGAGUAACGAAGAAGAUAAAUGAGAAUGUAUAUGAGAAUUCUUACUAAAUGUACAAGUUGCUGCAUUGUUGUCUCCCACCAAGGUAUGAAUCGUCUGUCUUUUUACUUUUUUCACCUUUGUUAUUUCUUUCCUCUUUCACUCCCAUUCCAUGUUAAUGUUUUUUUUUUUUUGCCUUCUUUGAAGUUUUAUUUUUCUGCCUAUGCAUUCCCAAGACUAUUCACAAGUACAAUGCUUAUAAGGAUGUUGGUCUUUCUACUUACUGAUUAUAUGAAUUAGAAUUAUGUGAGCAGAGAGAGAAGGCUGGGACAGAAAAAUGCUAAAAUGAGUUAUUUUAGAUUGCAAGAACGUCAAUCUUUCCAGAACAAGAAAGUAAAGUUCUCAGCCAGCAGAGGCAACAUCAAAGUGAAGGACAAGAAAGUAGUGGACAGAAAGAUUCAUAUGCUAAUCAACCUCUGAUCAAUUGUAUCAAGUGAAAUGCAUUUAGAAACUGUACAGGUUAUUGUUGUUGAUUCUCAAGAGGAUGAUAGUACGGAUAAUUGAAGCGCAUAAGCUUUGUUGAGUUCAACACUACAGGUUUUGGUUAAAAUCUGAUGGCUAGAAUGGUAUAUGUGGAGGGAGAAGGAUUAUGGAAAAAUUGUCAAGGCAUGGCACUGCCCAUUAAGGUUAUCCAAAGGCCUAUGUCACUUGAUUUAGGAGUGCAAUUCUCUAGCAGCCCUGAUGAGCCAGCCACUGAGGGAGCUGUGAUCAAGUCUUCAAGAAUUGGUGCUUUUGAAAACAUACCAAAGAAUUUGGAUCAAAGAUGAUGGCUAAGACAGUAGGUAGAGAAUCAUAAUGUAAUUACACCAUUGAGUGUUGUUAGGCUACCGAAGUCAUGACUCAUGAGGACUAGGCUCCAAAAGUUAAUUUAGAUUUCUCUGUUUUUUGCUCCUUUCUAAUUGUAUAUUGGCCUAAGAUUAUGAUUCACCUUUGUAGUUUAGCUUUAGCACGCAUUUUCUAACAAUGGAAUUCACUAUGUUAAAAUGUUA